AUAGUGAAGAACAGGAUGAAGACA
rnacentral:piRNA from 1 species